ACACCCAUAUAUAUGGCAUGCUUCGCUCUCCUUCCUAACCGAUGUGGGUCGUACCUCUGUAUCCUUGAGAUCUAAGGAGACAGGAACCUACGUCUGGUUGAUGAGCCACGACCGUGUGAUCAGAGCGUGAUUAACUGUCUGAUGUGUUCCUCUAGGGGGAGCUUCAUCUGCGACUGUAGAGGAUCGUUCUUGGUCCAGUGGUGGCCGAGAUGGUCACACGGUUGUCUGACAGACC
rfam:Cajanus cajan CcLG02_1691, whole genome shotgun sequence.